GGUGGUCCGGGCACACAAUGGGCUAAACUCGGCCACAGACCCAGCGCCGGCUACAGAGGACUGUGGGUGCUGGUGGAGUGAGGAGCUCUGACGUUACAGCACAAAACAGGAGCCCCCGGAUGGCGAUUCCGGAAACCCGGCCAAGACGGUCUCACCAGCCGAUGGCUCUGACCUGAAACCUCCGGGCCCUAAAGAAGCCCCAACGCCUCCGGUCCCCGUGUCACAGGAGAGGCCUGUGAGCGUCCAGGGGAGAAGCCACACGCCCCCGCUCCCAGCCGGCGGGCAGGGUCAGUGCCAUGGAGACGGGGCCCGUGUGACGCCAGGCAGUCCCCCCUGUGAUCUGCCUCCCCAUCACCCAACCCCGGUCUGAGCCUGAGAAAAAAAUCCCAGUUAAGGGACCGUCCACAAAA